CCAUGUCACCUGUAGGUCGUGGUUAUUCUUUGUUAUGACAGCCAAUCACGUUCCCGGCUGCAACCAUGAAACUUAUGUUUUAGCCAAUCAGCGCUCGUAUCGCAACCGCGAAUUUGCCAAUCAGCGCUCGUAUCGCAACCGCGAAUUUGCCAAUCAGCGCUCGUAUCGCAACCGCGAAUUUGCCAAUCAGCGCCCGUUCCUCAUCCGCGAUUCUUCGUAGUAAGUAGAUCAAUUGAUAACAUUAAAAACUACCGGAGAUUUAAGGAUCACGGGUGAAGAAGAAGAAGAUAACGGUCAUCGAUUAACUUCUAACCAACAUUUGCAAUGUGAGCUUAUUGGAGUGGAAUAUCUUUACCAGCAAACUGGUAAAGUUCUGCAGGACUACAAGUUGGCCAUUGAAGAGUCAGAGACUACUGAGGUUGGUAUAGAGGUGGAUGAAGGUUAUGCUGAACUUGAGGAGUUUCAGGACAUCACUGUCCCCACCUUUGACACUGACCGGACACCUGCUGCCUCUUCACAAGCAUCAGUGUCUGCAGCAUCUGCAGCAUCAUUUCCAACUCCUCCAGCAACCAGCCCCACGUCAUCACUGUUUGUGGUCCCUCCAUCAUCAGUGUCAUCUCCUGUCAGCAGCUCACUGCACGCUGAAUCAAAUCUAGAACUCUUUCCUGGAGCACAUAGCUUGGACCGAUUAUCUGCAGAAACGGAUCGUCCAACAUUGGAAGAGAACACUUCACAUGAUGUAAG